rnacentral:rRNA from 1 species
ACGCUAGCUACAGGCUUAACACAUGCAAGUCGCGGGGCAGCAUGGGAGAUGCUUGCAUUUCCUGAUGGCGACCGGCGCACGGGUGAGUAACGCGUAUCCAACCUGCCUGUUACCACGGCACAGCCCGUCGAAAGGCGGAUUAAUGCCGUAUGUGGUCCUAAACGGGCAUCUAAUUAGGACUAAAGGAUUAGGCGGUAACGGAUGGGGAUGCGUCCGAUUAGCUUGACGGCGGGGUAACGGCCCACCGUGGCGACGAUCGGUAGGGGUUCUGAGAGGAAGGUCCCCCACAUUGGAACUGAGACACGGUCCAAACUCCUACGGGAGGCAGCAGUGAGGAAUAUUGGUCAAUGGGCGAGAGCCUGAACCAGCCAAGUAGCGUGAGGGAAGACUGCCCUAUGGGUUGUAAACCUCUUUUGUGCGGGGAUAAAGUGAGGGACGUGUCCCUCAUUGCAGGUACCGCACGAAUAAGGACCGGCUAAUUCCGUGCCAGCAGCCGCGGUAAUACGGAAGGUCCGGGCGUUAUCCGGAUUUAUUGGGUUUAAAGGGAGCGCAGGCCGUCCUUUAAGCGUGCUGUGAAAUGCCGCGGCUCAACCGUGGCACUGCAGCGCGAACUGGAGGACUUGAGUACGCACGAGGUAGGCGGAAUUCGUGGUGUAGCGGUGAAAUGCUUAGAUAUCACGAAGAACUCCGAUUGCGAAGGCAGCUUACCGGAGCGCAACUGACGCUGAGGCUCGAAAGCGCGGGUAUCGAACAGGAUUAGAUACCCUGGUAGUCCGCGCGGUAAACGAUGGAUGCCCGCCGUCGGGUUUAUGAAUUCAGCGGCCAAGUGAAAGCGUUAAGCAUCCCACCUGGGGAGUACGCCGGCAACGGUGAAACUCAAAGGAAUUGACGGGGGCCCGCACAAGCGGAGGAACAAGUGGUGUAAUUCGAUGAUAUGCGAGGAACUUUAGCCGGGAUUGAAUCGCAGGAGAACGAUCCAGAGA